GCGCAGGCGGGAAGGAAAGUCAGACGUGAAAGCCUGGGGCUCAACCUCGGAAUUGCAUUUGAUACUUCCUUUCUUGAGGGUAGGCGGAGAAAACAGAAUUCCACAAGUAGCGGUGAAAUGCGUAGAUAUGUGGAAGAAUACCGGUGGCGAAGGCGGUUUUCUAGCUUAUACCUGACGCUGAGGCCCGAAAGCUAGGGGAGCGAACA
rnacentral:rRNA from 1 species